rnacentral:rRNA from 1 species
UGCAAGUCGAACGAGACCUUCGGGUCUAGUGGCGCACGGGUGCGUAACGCGUGGGAAUCUACCCUUGGGUUCGGAAUAACAGUUAGAAAUGACUGCUAAUACCGGAUGAUGACGAAAGUCCAAAGAUUUAUCGCCCAAGGAUGAGCCCGCGUAAGAUUAGCUUGUUGGUGGGGUAAUGGCCUACCAAGGCGACGAUCUUUAGCUGGUCUGAGAGGAUGAUCAGCCACACUGGGACUGAGACACGGCCCAGACUCCUACGGGAGGCAGCAGUGGGGAAUAUUGGACAAUGGGCGAAAGCCUGAUCCAGCAAUGCCGCGUGAGUGAUGAAGGCCUUAGGGUUGUAAAGCUCUUUUACCAGGGAUGAUAAUGACAGUACCUGGAGAAUAAGCUCCGGCUAACUCCGUGCCAGCAGCCGCGGUAAUACGGAGGGAGCUAGCGUUGUUCGGAAUCACUGGGCGUAAAGCGUGCGUAGGCGGUGACUCAAGUCAGAGGUGAAAGCCUGGAGCUCAACUCCAGAACUGCCUUUGAAACUAGGUCGCUAGAACAUCGGAGAGGUGAGUGGAAUUCCGAGUGUAGAGGUGAAAUUCGUAGAUAUUCGGAAGAACACCAGUGGCGAAGGCGGCUCACUGGACGAUUGUUGACGCUGAGGCACGAAAGCGUGGGGGAGCAAACAGGAUUAGAUACCCUGGUAGUCCACGCC